rnacentral:tRNA from 4 species
AGGCACGUAGCUCAGGGGGAGAGCGCUACCUUGACACGGUAGAGGUCGUUGGUUCAAAUCCAAUCGUGCCUACCA